CAGAAUUUUGCCGGUUCAGUUCCGGCGACUCAAACCGUCUCCUGGUUGUGAGCCGUGGGUGUGAUACUCCGACGGCGAGGACCGAACCCAGUCCCGGCCGUCGUCAUUGGAGGAUGGAGGAUAUGGAAAACCCCCUUCCUCUCCUCCGCUCAGGCUCCCCGCGACUGUGUCGGCAGGGUAGGAUUGGUGGUCGCGGCAGAGCUCGGGUGCAGGGCGUCGCCAGCGCUGAUGGGUGCCUCCGUCGCGCCGUUUAGAAUCGGUGUACUGCUCUGCUGCCUUGGGCGUCCACGCUGUCACACAGACCAUACCUCUCAGUGUCCGUGGAGUGGCCGCACGCCAACCUCAGCGACACUGAUGCUGAAUUGCAGUAACUUACUGCGCUUGCCUCUGAAUUCUAAAAUUCUGAAUUGCUUGUAACUUAAGACGACACCCAUCUGCCUGGGGUUCUGUCAUCAUGGCAAUUUUUGGGCGUUCCUACAGCAUUUGAAUCCAACACAGAAGAGAGGGCAUUAGCUAGUGCUAAAAAUGUAGUGCGAUUUGGCCUAGCUUCCAUCAACUCGAAUGCCCAGGACAUGUCACAAUCUUCUUCCUCUCUACAAACAUCAAUCCUGGAGGUGCUAGGGAAGAGCAUGUGUACUACAGCCCAGCAAAAAGAAAAGACCCAUUGCCACUGCUACUACAAGAAGAUUAAGUAGAAUAAGAAAAAAAAAUCUUGUUAUGGUUGCUGCUUAAUUACCACUGAAUUUAUUCAUUUGUUCAUGUCAGAAUUGUUAUGGCUCUGCUACAUCAAUGAUAUUG